GUCGAACGGUAACAGGAAGCAGCUUGCUGCUUCGCUGACGAGUGGCGGACGGGUGAGUAAUGUCUGGGAAACUGCCUGAUGGAGGGGGAUAACUACUGGAAACGGUAGCUAAUACCGCAUAACGUCGCAAGACCAAAGAGGGGGACCUUCGGGCCUCUUGCCAUCGGAUGUGCCCAGAUGGGAUUAGCUAGUAGGUGGGGUAACGGCUCACCUAGGCGACGAUCCCUAGCUGGUCUGAGAGGAUGACCAGCCACACUGGAACUGAGACACGGUCCAGACUCCUACGGGAGGCAGCAGUGGGGAAUAUUGCACAAUGGGCGCAAGCCUGAUGCAGCCAUGCCGCGUGUAUGAAGAAGGCCUUCGGGUUGUAAAGUACUUUCAGCGGGGAGGAAGGCGAUAAGGUUAAUAACCUUGUCGAUUGACGUUACCCGCAGAAGAAGCACCGGCUAACUCCGUGCCAGCAGCCGCGGUAAUACGGAGGGUGCAAGCGUUAAUCGGAAUUACUGGGCGUAAAGCGCACGCAGGCGGUCUGUCAAGUCGGAUGUGAAAUCCCCGGGCUCAACCUGGGAACUGCAUUCGAAACUGGCAGGCUAGAGUCUUGUAGAGGGGGGUAGAAUUCCAGGUGUAGCGGUGAAAUGCGUAGAGAUCUGGAGGAAUACCGGUGGCGAA
rnacentral:rRNA from 1 species